UUACGGUCAUGCCACGUUGAACCCCCGGUUCUCGUACGAUGACCGAAGUUAAACAACGCCGAGCCUGGUCAGUAUAUUGACGGGUGACCAUUUGGGAUUACUAGGUACUGUAAG